rnacentral:SRP_RNA from 1 species
GACAGGCAUGGUGGCACGCGCCUGUAGUUCCAGCUGCUCUGGAGGCUGAGGCAGGAUGAUCGCUUGAGCCCAUAGCUUCUGGGCUAUACCCAUUGGGUUUCCACACUAAGUUUGGCAUCAGUUUGGUGACCUUCUGGAGCAGGAGACCACCAGGUUGCCUAAGGAGAAGUGAACUGGCUUAGGUUGGAAACAACAGGUCAAAACUCCUGUGCUGAUCAGUAGUGGGAUUGUACUCCAGCCUUGGCAACCUAGCAAGACCCAAUCUAUU